UACGUUUUACAGCCUUACAUUUAUCGCAUGUUUAACAUGUUCGCUUAGGAUCACUGAAAACCAAAAAUCAUUUAUGCUUGCUUGACUUAAUCAUUUCCGAUAUAUCUUGAUUGCUAGCAUCACACCUGAUUGGAUUGAUACCUAUUGUACUGCAAUGACAUGAUAGUACUCUAGAGAAAUUGAUAGCAAAAUCCUAGUAUCAAGA
rnacentral:lncRNA from 1 species